rnacentral:rRNA from 1 species
AGGAUGUGGGAUUUCGAAGACAGCUAGGAUGUUGGCUCAGAAGCAGCCAUACAUUCAAAGAGUGCGUAAUAGCUCACUAGUCGAGAGGUCCUGCGCCGAAAAUGUCCGGGGCUGAAACACAGCACCGAAGCUUAGGAAGACAGGCAACUGUCUUGGUAGAGGAGCAUUUCAUACGGAAAGAAGCUGUACCGAUAAGGAGCAGUGGACUGUAUGGAAGAGAGAAUGCCGGAAUGAGUAGCGAGAAAGAGGUGAGAAUCCUCUUGGCCGAAUAUCCAAGGAUUCCAGGGUAAAGCUGAUCUGCCCUGGGUAAGUCGGGACCUAAGGCGAGGCCGGAAGGCGUAGCCGAUGGACAACAGGUGGAGAUUCCUGUACUGCGAUAUGACAGAACUGUGGGGACGCAUGUGGAAAG